GGCUUGGGGAAGGUUAUACUUUCGUUUUACAUUUAUAUACAGUGGAAUAGUAAUGUGUAAGCACUCACAUGAAUGGACCUUGGCUACGUGUUAGCCUUUUAGUAAGUAAAACGGGGAUUAUUUUCAUUAUAAAAAAAUAAGUCAGCACAAUUUAAAGUGUGAAAAUGACAGCAAGUGAAUGUCAUGUAAUAGCCUAAUAAUAUUUAAAUAAUAUUAAAAUUCAAUGAUAAUUCAAUGAAAUUUAAUUCA